GAUGAACGCUGGCGGCGUGCCUAAUACAUGCAAGUCGAGCGAACAGACGAGGAGCUUGCUCCUCUGACGUUAGCGGCGGACGGGUGAGUAACACGUGGAUAACCUACCUAUAAGACUGGGAUAACUUCGGGAAACCGGAGCUAAUACCGGAUAAUAUAUUGAACCGCAUGGGUCAAUAGUGAAAGACGGUUUUGCUGUCACUUAUAGAUGGAUCCGCGCCGCAUUAGCUAGUUGGUAAGGUAACGGCUUACCAAGGCAACGAUGCGUAGCCGACCUGAGAGGGUGAUCGGCCACACUGGAACUGAGACACGGUCCAGACUCCUACGGGAGGCAGCAGUAGGGAAUCUUCCGCAGUGGGCGAAAGCUUGACGGAGCAACGCCGCGUGAGUGAUGAAGGUCUUCGGAUCGUAAAACUCUGUUAUUAGGGAAGAACAAAUGUGUAAGUAACUAUGCACGUCUUGACGGUACCUAAUCAGAAAGCCACGGCUAACUACGUG
rnacentral:rRNA from 1 species